rnacentral:tRNA from 1 species
AGAUCAGUGUUCUAACUGGUAAGAUGCAGGCCUCCAAAUCCUUGCGAUUGGGGUUCGAAUCCCUACUGGUCUGCCA